rnacentral:rRNA from 1 species
AUACGUAGGUGGCGAGCGUUGUCCGGAAUUACUGGGCGUAAAGGAUGCGUAGGUGGAUAUUUAAGUGGGAUGUGAAAUCCCCGGGCUCAACCCGGGAACUGCACUCCAAACUGGGUAUCUAGAGUGCAGGAGAGGAAAGCGGAAUUCCUAGUGUAGCGGUGAAAUGCGUAGAUAUUAGGAGGAACACCAGUGGCGAAGGCGGCUUUCUGGACCGUAACUGACACUGAGGCAUGAAAGCGUGGGUAGCAAACAGGAUUAGAUACCCUGGUAGUCCACGCCGUAAACGAUGGGUACUAGGUGUAGGAGGUAUCGACCCCUUCUGUGCCGUCGUUAACACAAUAAGUACCCCGCCUGGGGAGUACGGUCGCAAGACUAAAACUCAAAUGAAUUGACGGGG